UUCAGAAUCCGGUUGAUCCUGCCGGACCUGACUGCUAUCGGAUUGAUACUAAGCCAUGUUAGUCUUUGUAGUAAUACAAGGCAUACGGCUCAGUAACACGUAGUCAACCUAACUUAUGGACGGGGAUAACUUCGGGAAACUGAUGAUAAUACCCGAUAGGUCAUUAUGCCUGGAAUGGUUUAUGGCUUAAAUGAAUUUCGCCAUAGGAUGGGACUGCGGCCUAUCAGCUUGUUGGUGAGGUAAUGGCCCACCAAGGCUAUAACAGGUACGGGCUCUGAGAGGAGUAGCCCGGAGAUGGGUACUGAGACAAGGACCCAGGUCCUAUGGGACGCAGCAGGCGAGAAAACUUUGCAAUGUGCGAAAGCACGACAAGGUUAAUCCGAGUGUUUCCUGCUAAAGGAAUCUUUUGUUAGUCGUAGAACCACUAAUGAAUAAGGGGUGGGCAAGUUCUGGUGUCAGCCGCCGCGGUAAAACCAGCACCUCAAGUGGUCAGGAGGAUUAUUGGGCCUAAAGCAUCCGUAGCCUGUUUUGUAAGUCUUCGGUUAAAUCCACAUGCUCAACAUGUGGGCUGCCGAAAAUACUGCACAACUAGGGAGUGGGAGAGGUAGACGGUACUCGGUAGGAAGGGGUAAAAUCCUUUGAUCUAUCGAUGACCACCUGUGGC
rnacentral:rRNA from 1 species